CUAGGUAGCUAACCUCAGGUGGUAGAACACAUCUAGAGGUUCACUCCUCAACCCAGCGGCCGCGGGUUCGACUCCGACCUGCGGCCCUUUGCUGUAUGUCAUUGCCCCUCGCUGUCUCCCAUUUCAUGUCUUCAUC